UGGGGUUUAGCCAAGCGGUAAGGCAAAAGAUUUUGAUUCUUUCACGCGGUGGUUCGAAUCCACCAUCCCCAGCCA
rnacentral:tRNA from 1 species